UCUGGUGAUUAUGGCUUGAAGGUAACACCCGUUCCCAUACCGAACACGAUGGUUAAGCUUCAAAGCGCCGAUGGUACUGCACUGGAGACGGUGUGGAAGAGUAGUCGUCGCCAGGU
rnacentral:rRNA from 1 species